GGGAUAAGGGGUGCCACCAUCAGGUGGCCGCAGAGAAUAGGCCCAAGCGACUGUUUACCAAAAACAUAGGUUUCUGCUAAGUCGCAAGACGAUGUAUAGGAGCUGACGCCUGCCCGGUGCUGGAAGGUUAAGGGGAUCUGUUAGAGAAUCGAAGCAGUGAACUUAAGCCCCAGUAAACGGCGGCCGUAACUAUAACGGUCCUAAGGUAGCGAAAUUCCUUGUCGGGUAAGUUCCGACCCGCACGAAAGGCGUAACGAUUUGGGCACUGUCUCAACAACAGACUCGGUGAAAUUGUAAUUCCGGUGAAGAUGCCGGAUACCUGCGACAGGACGGAAAGACCCCAUGGAGCUUUACUGUAGCUUGACAUUGGGUCUUGGUACUACAUGUACAGGAUAGGUGGGAGGCUUUGAAACCAGGACGCCAGUUUUGGCGGAGCCAUCCUUGGGAUACCACCCUUGUAGUACUGGGACUCUAACCAUAGGCCAUGAAUCUGGUCUUGGGACACUGUCAGGUGGGCAGUUUGACUGGGGCGGUCGCCUCCCAAAAGGUAACGGAGGCGCUCAAAGGUUCUCUCAGUACGGUCGGAAAUCGUACGUAGAGUGUAAAGGCAAAAGAGAGCUUGAUUGCAAGACAUACAGGUCGAGCAAGGAUGAAAAUCGGACUUAGUGAUCCGGUGGUUCUGCGUGGAAGGGCCAUCGCUCAACGGAUAAAAGCUACCCUGGGGAUAACAGGCUUAUCUCCCCCAAGAGUCCACAUCGACGGGGAGGUUUGGCACCUCGAUGUCGGCUCAUCACAUCCUGGGGCUGUAGUAGGUCCCAAGGGUUGGGCUGUUCGCCCAUUAAAGUGGUACGCGAGCUGGGUUCAGAACGUCGUGAGACAGUUCGGUCCCUAUCCGUCGCAGGCGUAGGAAAUUUGAGAAGACCUGUCCUUAGUACGAGAGGACCGGGAUGGACGUACCUCUGGUGUACCAGUUGUUCUGCCAAGGGCAUGGCUGGGUAGCUAUGUACGGAAUGGAUAAGCGCUGAAAGCAUCUAAGCGCGAAGCCAACUUCAAGAUAAGAUUUCCCACCGCAAGGGUAAGACCCCAGAAAGACUAUCUGGUUGAUAGGUCGAAGGUGUAAGUGCAGCAAUGUAUUUAGCUUAUCGAUACUAAUAGGUCGAGGACUUGACCA
rnacentral:rRNA from 1 species